rnacentral:rRNA from 1 species
GACGAACGCUGGCGGCGUGCUUAACACAUGCAAGUCGAACGAAGUGGCGAACGGGUGAGUAACGCGUAAUCAACCUGCCCUUCAGAGGGGGACAACAGCUGGAAACGACUGCUAAUACCGCAUAAUGAUGGAGGGGAUUGCGUCUGAUUAGCUAGUUGGAGGGGUAACGGCCCACCAAGGCGAUGAUCAGUAGCCGGUCUGAGAGGAGGAACGGCCACAUUGGGACUGGGACACGGCCCAGACUCCGACGGGAGACAGCAGUGGGGAAGCUUCCGCAAUGGACGAAAGUCUGACGGAGAAACGCCGCGGGAGUGAUGACGGCCUUCGGGUUGUAAAGCUCUGUUAAUCGGGACGCGGUACCGGAAUAGAAAGCCACGGCUAACUACGUGCCAGCAGCCGCGGUAAUUC